GGAUGGUCUUGCUUUGCCAGCAGUGACAAUGAGCGCGGACACCCCGGAGGACGUCGCGGAGGACAUCGAAGAGCUCCUGACCUGGAUCGACGAGGAAGUGACGGCCAACACAGGCAUCCUGGACGACACCGCAGACAUGGAUGAGCUGCUCGCGUGGAUCAACAGCA